ACACAGUACAAACAGAACAGUAGUUUAACUUCAUACAAAGUGGCCGCCGCCGGUUUGAAUGUAUGCGUGAGCAGCGGGCGCCGUGUACGUACGGAAGUUUCACGCACACAUUCGCAUAGUCUCAAGUGGCUCAAGUGGCCGGCAGUACGGGCCGCGCCGCCAUGCUAAUCGCGCGCAAUUGCGUAUUACGUUGCACGCUCGCUCUUUUUUGUUUUGUUAAUAACAAUUAUGACUUCAAAAAAAGCCAAAAUUUAUUGUGGUGUCUUCGGGUGUCUCAAUAACGACUCCAACAAACCGGACUUAUCAUUCUUCAAUAUACCUACUGAACAAGACACGCGCUUACAAUGGCUACGAUCAAUCGAUCGCGAAGAUUUGUCCGAUAAGCCAACACGUCGCAUACUCGUGUGUGAAGUAUUCAAAGCUGAAGAUAGAAUUUUUAAAAUUUGUCUUUUCUUUUUAAAACGUCUUU